rnacentral:rRNA from 1 species
GACGAACGCUGGCGGCAUGCCUAACACAUGCAAGUCUAGGGGUAGCAAUACCACUGGCGCACGGGUGAGUAACACGUAGGUUAUCUGCCCCCAUCACAGACACUAACCCGGGAACCGGGGACUAAUAUCUGAUGAGGUCGCGAGAUCAAAGCUUCGGCGGAGUGGGGAGUGAGCCUGCGGCUGAUUAGCUAGUUGGUGAGGUAAUGGCUCACCAAGGCGACGAUCAGUAGCUGGUCUGAGAGGACGAACAGCCACACUGGAACUGAGACACGGUCCAGACUCCUACGGGAGGCAGCAGUGAGGAAU